CCUGGUCUUGACAUCCACAGAACUUUCAGGAGAUGGAUUGGUGCCUUCGGGAACGUGAGACAGGUGCUGCAUGGCUGUCGUCAGCUCGUGUUGUGAAAUGUUGGGUUAAGUCCCGCAACGAGCGCAACCCUUAUCCUUUGUUGCCAGCGGUUAGGCCGGGAACUCAAAGGAGACUGCCAGUGAUAAACUGGAGGAAGGUGGGGAUGACGUCAAGUCAUCAUGGCCCUUACGACCAGGGCUACACACGUGCUACAAUGGCAUAUACAAAGAGAAGCGACCUCGCGAGAGCAAGCGGACCUCAUAAAGUAUGUCGUAGUCCGGAUUGGAGUCUGCAACUCGACUCCAUGAAGUCGGAAUCGCUAGUAAUCGUAGAUCAGAAUGCUACGGUGAAUACGUUCCCGGGCCUUGUACACACCGCCCGUCACACCAUGGGAGUGGGUUGCAAAAGAAGUAGGUAGCUUAACCUUCGGGAGGGCGCUUACCACUUUGUGAUUCAUGACUGGGGUGAAGUCGUAACAAGGUAACCGUAGGGGAACCUGCGGUUGGAUCACCUCCUUACCUUAAAGAA
rnacentral:rRNA from 1 species